rnacentral:rRNA from 1 species
AGUGAACGCUGGCGGUGGGCCUAACACAUGCAAGUCGAACGGCAGCACAGUAAGAGCUUGCUCUUACGGGUGGCGAGUGGCGGGCGGGUGAGGAAUACAUCGCAAUCUACUUUUUCUUGGAGGAUAACGUAGGGACACUUACGCUAAUACCGCAUACGACCUACGGCCGAAAGCAGUAGAUCUUCGCACCUUGCGCGUUUCUAUGAGCCGAUGUCGGAUUAGCUAGUUGGCGGGGUAAAGGCCCACCAAGGCGACGAUCCGUAGCUGGUCUGAGAGGAUGAUCAGCCACACUGGAACUGAGACACGGUCCAGACUCCUACGGGAGGCAGCAGUGGGGAAUAUUGGACAAUGGGCGCAAGCCUGAUCCAGCCAUACCGCGUGGGUGAAGAAGGUCUUCGGGUUGUAAAGCUCUUUUGUUGGGAAAGAAAAGCAGUAGGUUAAUAUCCCGCUGUUCUGACGGUACCUAAAGAAUAAGCAACGGCUAACUUCGUG